AUUUAUUUUACUAGACAUCCAACUACCACCACCAAGAUUUAAACAGAAAAUAAUACUUCAUAUACUAUUAACGGCAAAACAACUGAUUGCCUGGGCCUGGAAAUCCCAACAGGCGCCCCCCAAUCUCAAACUUGCAUCAAACUUUAGAUAAACAACACAUAUACGAAAAAUACUCUCAAACCAUAUUGCCCCCCUCUAAGUCGUGGAAACUAUGGAACACAUGGUGAUCGGAUAACCCCCA